rnacentral:lncRNA from 1 species
CUUUAUUUUUAUCUCCUGCUGUCCCAUGAAAAUAUAUUUAGUGGGAGAAGUUCUUCUGACCCUGCAUGAAAAUUCCCACAGACCUACAAAUUUUUUUUCACUCUAGGAAAAUAAAAAGUUCUUUAUACCUUUGUUGACAAAAAAAAAAAAGCCAAAUUCUGUAAAAUAUUUGAAGAAAUUUAUUCUCAGCCAAAUGUGAAGACCAUGGCCCAUAACACAGCCUCUCACACUGCUAAUAAAGACAUACUCAAGACUGGGUUUGUAAAGGAAAGAAGUUUAAUUGACUCACAGUUCAGCAUGCCUGGGGAGGCCUCAGGAAACUUACAAUCAUGGCAGAAGGGGAAGCAAACAUGUCCUUCUUCAUAUGACAGCAGGAAGGAAAAGAAUGAGUGCCCAGCAAAGGCAGAAGCCCCUCAUAAAACCAUUAGAUCUCAUGAGAACUCACUCACUAUCAUGAGAACAGGAUGGGGGAAACCAGCCUCAUGAUUCAAUUAUCUCCACCUGGUCCCUCUCAUGACACAUGGAGAUUACGGGAACUACAAUUUAAGGUGCUAUUUAGGUGGGGACACAGCCAAACCAUAUCAUUCUAUCCCUGGCCCCUCCCAAAUCUCAUGUCCUUACAAUUUAAAACACAAUCAUGCCCUUCCAAAAGUUCCCCAAAGUUUUAACUCAUUCCAGCAUUAAUUCAAAAGUCCAAGUCCAAAGUCUGAUCUGAGACAAGGCAAGUCCCUUCCACCUGUGAGUCUGUAAAAUCAAAAGCAAGUUAGUUUCUUUCUAUAUACAGUGGGGAUACAACAGGCAUUGGGUAAAUACACCCAUUCCAAAUGGGAGAAAUUGGCCAAAACAAAGGAACCACAGGCCCAGUGCAAGUCCGAAAUCUAAUUGGACAAUCAUUCAACCUUAAAGCUCCAAAAUGAUCUCCUUUAACUCCAUGUCUCACAUCCAGGUCACACUGAUGCAAGAGGUAGGCUCCCACAGUGUCAGGCAGCUCUGCCCCUGUGGCUCUGCAGGGUAUAGCUCCCCUCCUGGCUCCUUUCAUGGGCUGGCAUUGAGUGUCUGCAGCUUUUCCAGGGGCACUGCACAAACUAUCAGUGGAUCUACCAUUCUGGGGUCUGGAGGACGGUGGUCCUCUUCUAACAGGUCAACUAGGUUGUGCCUCAGCAGGGACUCUGUUUGGAGGCUCUAACUCCACACUUACCUUCUGCACUGCCCCAGCAGAGGUUCUCCAUGAGGGCCCUGCCCCUGCAGCAAACUUCUCCCAGGGCAUCCAGGUGUUUCCAUAUAUCCUCUGAGAUCUAGGCGGAGGUUCCCAAACCUCAAUUAUUGAUUUCCAUGCACCAACAGGCUCAACACCACAUGAAAGGUGCCAAGGCUUGGGGCUUGCACCUUCUGUAGCAACAGCCUGAGCUGUGCCUUGGCCCCUUUUAGUCAUGGCUAGAGCAGCUGGGAUUCAGGGAACCAAGUCCCUAGGCUGCAUACAGCAUGGGCACCUUGAGCCUGGCCCAUUAAACCACUUUUUCCUCCAAGGCCUCCAGGCCUGUGAUGGGAGGGGCUGCCACAAAGGUCUCUAACAUGCCCUGGAGACAUUUUCCCCAUUGUCUUGAGGAUUAACAUUGGGUUCCUUGUUACUUAUGCAAAUUUCUGCAGCCAGGUUGAAUUUCUCCUCAGAAAAUGGGAUUUUUUUUCUAUUGCAUUGUCAGACUGCAAAUUUUCCAAACUUUUAUGUUCUGCUUUUGUAAUAUAUUUUAUUUCUAAAUGUGAUUUUCCAUUCUAUUACAGUCUGUUAUCCCAAGUGAGGCUCUCAGUAACUCUUACCUGGUAUUCAAUAAAUUUAGACAAAUGCACAUUUGUUUAUACACGUAAUUUUGCAUACAAUUGCAUGAGGCUUACUAUCCUCUAAAAUCCAUCUGUGGGUCUUACAAGUUAAGAACUUCUCUUUUGUAGACCCCUAAAUUGGCUUUGACUGAUAUCUUGAGCAAGGCAAGAUUAUUCAGUAUUUUUUUAAUCACUUCAUAUUUUUGUAUUAUUUUAUAUGUUUAAAUUUAAGAUGUUAUUAAACAUUUUAUUAAGUGCUUAUUUUGCACCAGGAACUACGCCAAGCACUUUGAUUUUGCAUAAAUGAUCUCAUUUGUUCUUACCACAAUCUUCUGAAGUACACCGGAAGUAAACAACAAUAAAAAUAUGAAGUACAUAUUUGUAUUCCCAUUUUACAGAUGAGGAAACAAGUUUAGUCAUAUUGUGUGAAGCCUACUUCACAGUCUGUGGCAGACCUGGACUAAAACUCGGGUCAAUCUCUUAAGGAUGACAUCUCAUUGCCUGUGGGCUUUAUCUUAUGAGCAUAUUCCUAAUCUCCUUGAUUUAGUCAGGAUAGGCUGUAUAUCAUGUGCAGUAACAGAAGAUAAACCUCCAAAUUUCAGUGGCUUUGCACAAUGAAGGUUUAUUACUCUUUCACAUAAAGUCUCAUGUGGGGACUGUGACUUUCCUGCAUCUUAUAGCUAUGCCAUCUGGAAUGUGUGGACUUAAAAGUAGAUGUUUCAAGUGAAGGGGAGAGAAAUGGAAGAAGCACACUAGCUUUUACCUGCCUCAGCCCAGAAGUAAUACAUUAUACAUACAAUUUGGCUUACGGAACCUUAGGAAAUUUUAUCAACUUUAUAACUCUUGCUACCAUUACAGGACGGUGCAUUCUAUUUCAAUGCCAGCUCAAAGAAAUAUAUUUUCCUAAAUAUUAUAUAAGCUCAGCCAUUUUUUUCUAUAUAAUAUUUUUCAGUCUUUUCUUCUCCAUAGCAACCCACAUCUCACGACCUACAGACAGAAUUGUUAUCAGCGGUGUGAGAAAAGGAAAGUUUUUGGUGAUUCUAAUUUGGGCACAUUGGAUAUUCCCUUCUUCUUCUUGUGAAUAUUUGGCUUCUGGUGAGGUAUAACAUCUGCAAUGAACCCAAGAGUCACUUGUGUGCUUCUGCCACCUUAAUGCCAAGUGAGACCUAAAUCUGUGAAUAACCAUCCCCACGUCCAGCAUCUACACAUCAAAAUAACAAGAUUCUAUAAAUCCACCAAAGAAAUUUGAGAAAAAGUUAAACCUCUGUAAUGAUAUACCUGGACAGCAACCACAAAAAGAUAUUACAAAAAGCCCAAAGGUAAAAACAAACUAUGGAAGUGAUCAAAUGAUCCUAUCCUUCAAUAAGAAAAUACCUGAUUUGGAAAACUGCCUUGCCCAAAUAUAAGCAGGAGAGAAAGACAAGCUGCUACUCUGGAAAUGGUAUGCCUAUAUUAAUCAUGACAAUUCGAUUGGGAUUUUUAUCCUCCUGCCUUUUGUUUUUUUUCUUCCCAACCCUAGUAAAUGACAGCUAUAUUUAUUGAGCAAUAGGCAUGGAAUUAGGGUGUGUAUGUGUGUGUGUGGGGGUUAUGUAUUCUAAACAAUUUCUAAGUGUCCUAGUAACAUGGUAGAUGUCCUCAGCUUGAAGAAUCUCCUUUUGAAGAUUCAGUGAAGGAAAGUUAAGUUUAAGUUAAGUUAUUUCUUCAUAAACCUAUUAAGUUGUGAAGCUAACAUUCAAACCCUGUUUGGGAUCACCUCAAAGGAAGUUAACUUCACCAUAUUCAAAAGGAGUGCACAAGACCUCCUGCAACUCUUCUAAAAGCAUUUCAAAUAGACACAUCUGACUCUGCUCCAUUUGGAACAGUCAAUAUAUGGUAGAAAUAACUAAGGAGAAUGGGGAGACAGGAACCUUGAGGCUUUUUUUGUCUCUUUGUUAGAGUCUUGAAUAACAAUCCAGCCAGGUUACCAAGGAUCACACAAUGUACUCUCCGUGUUCUUGCGUGCUUUCACUUCACCAACUAAUUCAUUCAUUUAACCUUUGGUGGGUUUGUUUGUUAAUUUAUUAACUCAACUUUUUUUUUCUUUUAUUGUUGGCCCUAUUUCUGAAUGCUCUGAUGUUUGCUCCUUCCUUAGACAAACCUCCACACCCAGAGGGACUAUAUUCAAAAGAGGAUUCCUUCCCAGUUCUCUGAGUAAUGAGACCCACCCAACCACACCCAGUUCUCCACUUACUGUGACAACUACUAGUUUUAUCACAGGACCAUAAGGCAAAACCAACUGACAAUAAAACACAUGAAAAAAAAUCGUCUCAUCAACAGAUCGGUUCUAUUUCAAUGGCAAUUUUGCAAAGGGAAGAAGUAGGCUUGAACUCCUGAAGACUCUAAAGCUAGAAAGCUCUGAGUUCAAAUCCUGGUUCCACCAAGUCUCAUUGUGGCAUCUUGAGCAAGUUGUUUAAAUACAAGGCUGUCACUUGUAAUGGGAGGAUAAAGAUGGUACCCAGCCCAUAGGUUAAAAGAGGGUUCUACAGGAUCAUGUAAAAUACUUAGAACACAUGACAAGACACAUAUCAGUCACUGUUAGGCUCCAGUGAGAGGAGGAGGUGAAGAUACACAAAGCAGAAUAAUGUCAAGAGUAGCGAUUGGGUUACUCUUGAGGGAAUGUAGGGGAGAAAACUUAUCUUUUUCUUCUGCCCAUCUUGGGUUCAUUGGCUGGCACCCCUGUAACAAAAGACAGAUUACAAAGAGAAAAGCAUGCAUACUUACUUAAAGUUUUAUGUAGCAAGGGGGCCUUCAUUAGGAAGUGAAGUUCAAUUAGUUAAACCUGAAUGUUUUGUAGUGAGGUGGAUGAAGAAUGGAGAGUUGUAGAAAAAUAUGAGAGAAGGAAAAUAAACAGUAUGAACUAAGAGUAAUAAGCUGGGGGAAAAGCAAGACCUGUUCAUUCAGAUUCCUCUUGGUGUCCCUCAUCUUGGAGACAAGGAUAUUCCUUUCCUCCAGGCAUAAGAAGGGCAUUUCUCAUAUGAGGGUCUUAGGACCUGCUUUGGGGGAGAAAGAAGGGGAAAGGUCAGAGAGACCUUCUUGCACAUGCUGUUUCUCAAUUUCCUUCAGCCUAAAAUAUUCAAUAUGCCAAGGUGCCGUAAGUUAGGGUAGCCUGUCCUGAACCCCUGAGGGACAUAGAGUGAGGAACAUAGAGUGAUUGCCAAUACGCCUGCUCCAAACUGAUUUGGAAAGUUGGGUCUUGCCGUGUAUCCCCUAAAACUGAUAGUCUCCUUGUAGAGAAGAGACAUUCAGCAUCUCUACCAUAAGAUGAAGUAAAAGUUUAUAAAUUGCUCCUUGCUCUCUUUUUUCCUGUAUGAACAAGACUUACCAAAAAUCCCUGAAUCUUUCUGGCUGGAUAUUUUUUGUUUGACAAAUUUUGGACCAAACUCACUCUUUCAUCCAAAUUUAUUAGCUUGCAAAACCCAGGCUACAUUCAUGAUGGAAAGAGCUUGAGGGCUCAAGGGCUUGAAGCCUUCAUGUCCUCACGCGUUAUUCUCAUCCUUCUAAGUCUGAGGCUACGUGCGGCAACAAUCCUGAGCUAGGAUAUUCAGAGGACCAUCCUUUCAUGCUACUGGAGAAAGUGACUUUCCCAAGUUUGUCAUUGCUGGGUCAUGAUAGCCAGCUUGGGCUUUUGCCCACACAACUGCUCAGUGCUUAUGCUUGGCUGCUUGCCCUCUUCUCCAUGGCUGUGAUCUGCCCAGCCAACACCCUGCUUAAUUUAGGCCCCACUGAAGUGAGAGCUUCACAUGGAACUACUCUUUCUAUUUAUGUGAUGGCUUUUUAAGCUCAAUCUUGAUAUGCUGACUUCUGAGAGAUUCUCAUUCUUUGACUUAACAAGAUAGAAGCCUCCAUGUUUAAAGUAACAACUGCUGGUUCUUGUUUUGCAAACUGCCCCCACAUAGCCCUCUGAACAGAGCAGGGUAGGGAGCAUUCGUGAGGCAAGGCAAGGUGUGAGCAGACCGGCUGAGGGGAGCCCCCUCUUCCUCCCUCCAUCCCAAUCCUUCUUUAUCUGUUUAUAUAUUGUGCUUCAAAACAGGUUUUCAGUUGAAAGGGGGUUAUAAAAAAGGUUGACUACUUCUGGCCUGAACUGACUGCCCUAUUAAAUAGGCCUAAAAGUUUCAGAGUGGUAUGAUUUGGUGCUUUGGGGAAGCCUUUGCCUACCAACCUUGUUUCUCAAACUGGAGACCAUGAAUUUGGCUUCACCCCAUCUUCCUUUAUUCAAAAGAUGAUUACUAAGAAUAGAUUCCAUCGAGGUGAAUCUAAGCAUAACAGGACACCUUGAAACCUUCUCCAAACAAGACUAAGUAAUAUAGAUCCGCCUUAUGUUGCGUGAAUGUCUUAAUCCUGGAUUGCAGGUGCCAGAUUUAGACCUCCCAGAUCCUGUAAAAAGUAUCUUCCAGGAGUCUUUAUGGGUCUCAUAUCUGCCUUGGCAGCCCAGAAAUCCCUGAGGCAGCCUCGCUGUAUAAGUUAGACUCUGAAAAACCCUCAGGGUUACGAAAAACAACUUGGUCAUGUCAUUUAGUAAAUGUAACACUAAGCAGAUGUUUUCCCCAUUCACCAAUAGAUUAUCACAUUUUUAAAUUUCCCAUUUCUCUCAAAGAAGGAUAGGCCCCAUAGAAGAGAUAAUAAGCUCAGUUUCAUACUCCACUAAAAUUACAAAAAAAAACAGAGGGUAUGCAGAGCAAUAGCUUAAUAAAAUUAAUAAGCACAUGACCUUUUCCUGAUUUCUGCCCACCCAUUCCCUCAAUACAGGUAAAUGCCAGUGAUUUCCUGGUUUUUUUUAGAGAUAGGUUUUCACUCUGUCACCCAGGCUGGAGUGCAGUGGCAUGACCGUGGCUCAAUGCAGCCUCAAAUUCUUGGGCUCAAGUCAUUCUCGCACCUCAGCCUCCUGAGUAGCUCGGACUGCAGGCACAUACCACCACACUAGGCUAACUUUUGUAUCUAUUUGUAGAGAUGGGGCCUCACUAUGUUGUCCAGGCUGGUCUCAGACUCCUAUACUCCAGCGAUUCUUAUGUCUUGACCCCCCAGCAUGCCAGGAUUACUGGUGUGAGCCACUACACCCAGCUGCCAGCAACGUUAAUGAGCCCUCAAUAUACCACAGUCUCCUCUACCUUCAAGUCACCCUGAUUUUGGCAGUGGUUCUCAAUUAUCCAGGGAUUGGGGAGAAGGUUAAACAAUUGGCAAUGUCUGGAGACAUUUUUCGUGGCCACAACUGGAUGAGGAAUGCUAUUGUCAUUUAGUGGGUCAAGGCCAGGGAUGUUGCAAAAACAUCCUCUAAAGCACAGGACUGUCCCAAACAACAAAGACUUAUUUGGCCCAAAAUUUCACUAGUGUGAAAGUUAAGAAACCUUGCUCUAAAGGAAAGAAGCCUGAAAGGUGGUUUCUAUGGCCAUGUGCUGUCAAGUUUGACUUGAAUUACCAAGUUGUUCACCCUCUGCAUGCAUAAAUUUGACUUUGCUCAUGAAAGCUUUCAUAAAGAAUCUCAGCCAGAACAAGCCAUUGUUCCUUUCACUGGAUUUCAUAGAACUUUAAAAUGAUUAAUGUUAGUAUUAUAAUCAUUAUUAUCUCCAUUGAAUGUCAAAUAUUUUACAUAGUCAUUUAUUCUAAAACCUUUUUAUAUGCCUUUAACCUUUUUCUUAUGCCUGCUAUGUAUGAGAAAAAGUACUCAGAGAUGGGACUAUAGAGAUCCAGAUGAUGAGUUUCCUGAUCUUAAGAAGCUUAAGGCAAAUAGAUGCUGUAUUAGUUUGCUAUGGCUGCAGUAACAAAUUGCCACAAAUUGGGUGGCUCAAACAGAAAUUUUUUAGAGACAGUCCUGGAGGCUCUCAGUCCUGGAGGCUGGAAGUUCAAGAUCAGGGUUAGAUCCUCCAGAGGGCUGUGAGGGAGAAUUGGUUCCAGGACCCCUCCUAGCUUCUGGUGGUUCACUGGCAAGCUUUUGUGUUCCUUGGCUUGUGGAAGCAUCAUCCCAAUCUUUACCUUCUUCUAAGGCCACAGUCAUAUUGGAUUGGGGCCUACCCUAACAACCUCAUCUAAACUUAACUAAUAUCAUCUGCAACGGUCCUGUUUCCAAAUAUGGUCACGUUCUGAGGUGCUAGGGUAUAAGAAUUCAGCAUAUGAUUUUGGAAGGGGAUGCACAAUUUAUUUAUUUAUGCUUAAUUUUUAAUUUUAUUUUAUUUUUCCAUAAGUUAUUGGGGUAUAGGUGGUAUUUGGUUACACGAGUAAGUUCUUUAGUGGUGAUUAUGAGAUUUGGUGCACCCAUCACCCAAGCAGUAUACACUGUACCAUAUUUGUAGUCUUUCAUCAGUCACCCCCUCUCACUCUUCCCCUCAAGCCCUCAAAGUCCAUUGUAUCGUUCUUAUGCCUUUGCAUCCUCAUAGCUUAGCUCUCACAUAUCAAUGAGAACAUAUGAUGGUUUGUUUUCCAUUCCUGAGUUACUUCAAUUAGAAUAAUAGUCUCUAAUCUCAUCCAGGUCACUACAAAUGCUGUUAAUUCAUUCCUUUUCAUAGAUGAGUAGCAGUCCAUUGUGUAUACAUAUAUAUCACAGUUUCUUUAUCCACUCGUUGAUUGAGGGGCCUUUGGGUUGGUUCCACAAUUUUGCAAUUGUGAAUUGUGUUGCUAUAAACAUGCAUGUGCAAGUGUCUUUUUCGACUAAUGACUUCUUUUCCUCUAGGUAGAUACCCAGUAGUGAGAUUGCUGGAUCAAAUAGUAGUUCUACUUUUAGUUCUUUAAGGAUUCUCCAUACUGUUUUCCAUAGUGGCUGUACUAGUUUACAUUCCCAUCAGCGGUGUAGAAGUAUUCCCUGAUCACCGCAUCCACGACAACAUCUACCAUUUUUUUAUUUUUUUAUUAUGGCCAUUCUUGCAGAAGUAAGGUGGUAUCACAUUGUGAUUUUAAUUUGCAUUUCCCUGAUCAUUGGUGAUGCUGAGCAUUUUUUCAUUUUUGUUGGCCAUUUGUAUAUUUUCUUUUGGGAAUUUUUCUAUUCAUGUCCUUAGCCCACUUUUUGAUGUGAUUGUUUGUUUUUUUCUUAAUGACUUGAGUUUGUUGUAGAUUCUGGAUAUUAGUCCUUUGUCAGUGUAUAGAUUGUGAAGAUUUUCUCCCACUCUAUGGGUUGUCUGUUUACUCUGCUGACUGUUUCUUUUGCCGUGAAACAGCUCUUUAGUUUAAUUAGGUCCCAGCUAUUUAUCUUUGUUUUUAUUGCAUUUGCUUUUGGGUUGUUGGUCAUGAAAUCCUUGCCUAAGCCAAUGUCCAGAAGGGUUUUUCCAAUGCUAUCUUCUAGAAUUUUUAUAGUUUCAGGUCUUAGGUUUAAGUCCUUAAUCCAUCUUGAGUUGAUUUUUGUAUAAGGUAAGAGUUGAGGAUCAAAUUUCAUUCUCCUACAUGUGUCUAGCCAAUUAUUCCCAGCACCAUGUGUUGAAAAGGAUGUCCUUUCCCCACUUUGUGUUUUUGUUUGCUUUGUUGAAGAUCAGUCGGCUGUAAGUAUUUGGGUUUAUUUCUGGGUGCUCUUUCUGUUCCAUUAUGCCUAUUUUAUACCAGUACCAUGCUGUUUUGGUGACUAUUGCCUUAUAGUAUAGUUUGAAAUCAGAUAGUGUGAUGUCUCCAGAUUUAUUCUUUUUGCUUAGUCUUGUGUUGGCUAUGAAGGCUCUUUCUUGGUUCCAUAUGAGUUUUAGAAUUGUUUUUUCUAACUCUGUGAAGAAUUAUGGUAGUAUUUUGAUGAGGAUUGUGAUGAAUUUGUAAAUUGCUUUUGGGAGUACGGUCAUUUUCACAAUAUUGAUUCUACCCAUCUAUGAGCAUGGGAUGUGUUUCCAUUUGUUUGUGUCAUCUAUGAUUUCUUUCAGCAGUGUUUUGUAAUUUUCCUUGUAGAGGUCUUUUGACUCUUUGAUUAGGUAUAUUCUUGAGGUUUUUUUUUUCUUUUUUUUUUUGCAGCAAUUGUAAAAGGAGUUGAGUUCUUUAUUUGAUUCUCCGCUUGGUUGCUGUUGGUGUAUAGAAGAGCUACUAAGUUUGUGUACAAUAACCUUGUACCUGGAAAUUUUGCUGAAUUCUUUUACCAGUUCUAGGAGCUUCCUUAGGGUUUUCAAGGUAAACAAUCAUAUCAUCAGCAAAUAGGGACAGUUUGACUUCCUCUUUACCAAUUCAAAUGCCCUUUAUUUCUUUAUCUUGUCAAUUGCUCUGGCUAGGACUUUCAGUACUAUGUUGAAGAGGAGUGGUGAGUGUGGGCAUGCUUGUCUUGUUCCCGUUCUCAGAGGGAAUGCUUUCAACUUUUCCCCAUUCAGUAGUAUGUUGGCUGUGGGUUUGUCAUAGAUGGCUUUUAUUACAUUAAAAUAUGUCCCUUGUAUGCCGAUUUUGCUGAGGGUUUUAAUUAUGAAGUAUGCAGGAUUUGGUCGAACACUUUUCUUGUAUCUAUUGAGAUGAUCAUGUGAUUUUUGUUCUUAAUCCUGUUUAUGUGGUGUCUCACAUUUGUUGACUUGUGUAUGUUAAACCAUCCCUGCAUCCCUGGUAUGAAACCCACUUGAUCUUGGUGGAUUAUCUUUUUGAUAUGUUGUUGGAUUCUGUUAGCUAGUAUUUUGUAAACGAUUUUAACAUCUAUGUUCAUCAAGGAUAUCGGUCUAUAGUUUUCUUUCUUGGUUGUGUCUUUUCCUGGUUUUGGUAUUAGGGUGAUGUUGGCUUCAUAGAAUGAGUUAGGGAGGGUUCCUUCUUUCUCUAUCUUGUGAAAUAGGGGACACACAAUUUAAUCCACAACAGAUGGGUAAACUGACUAUUGUAGUUCUGUAAUUAUAACACAAAGCAGUAAGUUCUAUGAAAGAGGGCAGUACAAACCAUGGAGGAGGGGUGCCUAACGCAGACUUAUCCCACAGGGUUAGGAUUAUGAGAGGGGCCUGAAUUCUGCUAAGAUGUUUGUGUCAUUAAAUGAUAACCAGCCAUUGUUCUGGAGGUCACAAGAUUUAUAACUUCCCCAGUGACUCCUGUAGAUAACAUCACUAUUGUAGAACCAGAGAUUCACUUUUUGAGGUGUCUUUUCAGACUUUUUCAUUUCUGAGGACUGGCUAACUCCACCCAAACCCACAACUCAUGACUUAACCAGUCCUGUGGCCCAGAGGCUGACUCAGUGAACAUUUUCCACACCCCUAAGGUUGCAUCCCCAACCAAUAAUCAUUCCCCAUUCCCUAUCCCCCUGUCCAUCAAACUAUCCUUGAAAAGUCCUAGCUUCUGAGCCUUUGGGGAGAUUGAUUUGAGUAAUAACUCCAUCUCCUAUAAGGCCGGCCUCAUAUCUAUUACACUCUUUCUUUACUGCAAUACCACUGAAAUUGAACCAAUUCAAUUCUCAGUGAAUUGAUUUUGUCUGUGCAGUACACAGGAAGAACCCAUCAGAUGAUUGCAGAAGAAAGAAAAAUAAAAAUUAAGAAGGGUAUGAUUUGGGGGAACUUCUUCCAGUGGGGCCUGUAAUGAUAGUAUACAACUCUCUGGACACAAAGGUGAACUCCAGUCUCUUGCUUGGAGAAGAACAAUUGCCCAUCCUUCUUACUCAAUGUUUUUCCUAGGUUUGGACACAGAAUUCAUUCCAGCAUAGAGUCCAUCCUAAGGCAUGAUUCAGUGAGCCAAUAAAGUUUGCAUCUGUGUCUCUGACCCUCACACACACCAAAAGAUCCUGACUAAUUCUCCUCCCUCCCCACCUGCACAGACACACUCAAAUAGGAAAUAUUCUCUUAUUUUAUAUAUUUUAAUUUUAUGUAAUAUACAUUAUUAUACAUAUAUAAUAUGUAUAAUGUAUAAGUAUAUUAUAUACUUAUAUAUUAUAAAAAUAUAGUUUACAUUUGUAAUAUAUAUUUAUUUUGUAUAAUAUAUAUUUUAUAUUUAUACAUAUAUAUAUAUAUUUUUUGAGACAGAGCCCACACUGUUGCCUGGGCUAGAGUGUAGUGGCACGAUCUCAGCUCACUGCAACCUCUGCCUCCCAGAUUCAAGAGAUUCUCCUGCCUCAGUUUCCCGAGCAGCUGGGAUUACAGAUGCCCGCCACCACACCCAGCUAAUUUUUUGUUUUUUUAGUAGAGACAGGGUUUCCCCAUGUUGGCCAGGCUGGUCUCAAACUCCUGACCUCAUGAUUUGCCCGCCUUGGCCUCCUAAAGUGAUGGGAUUACAGGCGUGAGCCACCGCACCCGGCCUGUAUUCAUAUAUAUAUAUAUAUGGAAGUACAGGCUCCAAAGCCCCCAUACUAUUUCCUGUUUCCUCUCCCUUGCACUGGUACAUGUUUGAUAUAUACAACUUUUCAAUAUUUUGGCAGCUUCACCUGUGAUUUUUUUUUAAUAAAAAAAGAAGGGGCAGGAGGUGACAGUAAUCAUCACAAUUUAUUUUUUCUUGUCACAUGAAAAGAAACAAAUCUUUGUGAAAUAAUUUAAUACUUUGAAGGGUGACCCAGAAACACAAGUAAUGGCUAUCAAUGCCUCUUCCAGCCAGUGAAGCUACAAGAACAAGGGAGUCCAAUGCUUCUUUUGAAGAAAGCUUUAAAUUCAUGGCACUAUUUUGGAAUAUGAGAAAAAUAUUUUAAAAUGCAUUUCUUGGCCUCUCUUGUUUUGUUUUGUUUCCUUCCUGCUGCUCUUGGGGAGUAUUAAUAAAAGAGAUGGGAUAAGUGAAAAACACAAGACAGAGAACUAUUUAUUUUUUUUCAGUUUUUUUGCCACUGAAAUGAAAAGAUUAUAAUAAUAAUAGUCACCAUUUAUUAAACUCUGCUAAGCACAUCAUGGCCUGAUUCAAUCCUUUUAGCAUCAUACAAGGAAGUUAUUAUCUCCCCUUUACAGAGAAGGCUGUGGCUGGGGAGGUAGGGGUUGAGAACUUGCCUGAAGUCAUAGCACAUCCUAGCUGCUAGGAACUAUUUUCUGAGCUAGGCUCUUCACACUGACCAUCUUAUAAAGUCUCUCACAGCAUCCCUGGAAUAAAUGCAUUAUUGUCAACAUUUUUAUAACUUACAAAAGGCUAAGUGGUAAAUUGAGGGUAGAAUUCAAACUGAGGUCUUUCCAACUCCAAAACAUGUGCUGUGAUGACCGUGCCAUAAACUUUCUCGUACCUUGUCAGAACAAAUGUACUGAAACUACCAUAGUUUCAGAACUGUAAUAAUCGAUGCAUAGUCCCCAUUGGUAGAUUUAGUGUUUUACAAUAGAGUUUCUGAAAAGCAGUUUUAAAAUACCCUUCAGCAAGCAUUUACUGAGGCCUCGUCUAGGCCAGGACUUGGGCUGGACAUUGCAGGCAUGGCCACAGUAACGAUGACUCAGAACUUGCCCCCAAGGAGUUCACAGUCUGGGAGCAUUGGGGAGAGGAGCAGAAAGUAAACUAGAGAGCACAAAACACAAAGUCACACUCUUGUAUAACAUACACUCAGUAAAAAGGAGGCCCACUAGAGCAGGGUUUCUCAACCUGGCACUAUUGCAUUUGGGGCUGUCUGAGUCUUGCUGUGGGGGCUGCCUGUGCAUUGUGGGGUAUUAGCAGCAUCUCUGAAUUCUACUCAGUAGAUACCAGUAGCCCCCCCACAACCAAAAAUGUCUCUGGACAUUGCCAAAUGUCUCCUGAGGUUGGGGGAGUGAGAAUCACUGCCCCACAGUUACAUCCUGGCAGAGUUAAGCAAUGAAACAAAAUCACUGGCCAUUAAUAAUACUAUAUGAUUUUCAAUUAAGAGCUUAUUUACACACCAAGUACCUUAGAAACCUGAUCUCAUCCCAUCCUCAUCAAAACCUUAUGGUGUGUACAAGCUGGAAUGAUGCCUAUUUUAUAGGUUAGGGCACUGAGGCACAAAGAGUUUAGUGGAUGCCUAGCUGCACAGUAGUGACCGAUAGAGCAGGCAUUUGAAGCCUGCCCUGCCAUCUUAGUCAGUGCACCGAGAUAUGAAGAGCAUUUUUAAAGUGUGCUAGGCUCUUUCAUUUUCAUUACAUGUCCACUGAUAUGGUUUGACUCUGUGUCCCCACCGAAAUCUCAUGUCGAAAUGCAAUCCCCACAUGUUGGAGGAGGGACCUGGUGGGAAGUGAUUGGAUCAUGGAGGUGGAUUUCCCUCCUACUGUUCUCGUGAUAGUGAGUGAGUUCUCAUGAGAUCCAAUGGUUUAAAAGUGUGUGGCACUUCCUCCCUUCACUCUCUCUCUCUCUCCGGCCACCAUGUGAAGAUAUGCGUGCUUCCCCUUCACCCUUCUGCCAUGAUUGUAAGUUUCCUGAGGCUUCCCCAGCCAUGCCUCCUGUACAGCCUGUGGAACUGUGAGUCAAACCCCUUUUCUUCACAAAUUACCCAGUCUCAGGUAGUUCUUUAUAUCAGUGUGAGAACAGACUAAUACAUCCACAGGCUGACCUAAUCUAAAAUUAGCAACACAAAGGAAUGAAUAUUUAUAAUUGUAUACAGUGUUAUCCUUUGUGAAUAUUCUAUCUUAUCCAUUCUGGACCUAAUUAAUCUAGUUUAUUUUGGAUGAUUUGCUUAUGGGAGUCUUGCUUUAACCAGGGAAAAUAUUUAUUAAUUCUGAAGAAUGUAGUAAGUUUCAUAUCUUGAUUUAUAUUUUGGCAGUUCAACCAUGCACUGUGUGGGGGCCAAAAAAAUCCCUAAAAAUAAUCAUAUGAUAUUGGCUAAGACCAAAUGCAGCCAGUUAUUUCUGUUGGUAUGUCUUAAUGAGGGAAAAAGGCAGAGCUGGAUGCCUCUUCUUUCUUAAAUUAAAAACAAAACAAAAUAAACAAGCAAAAAAAACUUCAAGAGACUUCAAAGGUCAGUAGAAAGUUUUCGUUUAAAUUGCCAAUUGUACAAUUUGAGGAAUGCAAGUAAACUGCCCUCAAAUAACUUUUCUAGGUAUUUUUCAAAAAAUUCUAAAGGGAAUAUUUGCUUUCUAGGCAAGGUUUUUAAAUAUUUCAUUAUCUAGGCUUAGAUAGCUUGGAUAGAAUAGUUAUUAUUUUAUAUUCAAUCUUUUACUUUAGCAGACUAUUAGGAUAUGCUUGUUGUGACUCAGUUUUUUGUAUCUACCAUCUGUUGGUUUAUUACCCAAAUCUAUAAGUAAACAUCAACAUAGGAAGCUUUACUGUCACUGAAGCUUUAUUAAAUAAAUGAGUUUAAUUGUGGAUUGUUAUCUGUGAAGUCAGGACCUGGGAGAGAAAAAAGCUACCAGCAACAUUCAGACUGAGAGAGGCCAAAAUACUAAUUCAUAAUUAGCCUGGUACAUAUGAAGGAUCAAAAAGAACAGGACUGUAUGUCUGACCUCUGACAGGUAUGUAUCAGUGUACACAGCCACGCCAGAUGAUGUCAGGUGGUGUGCUGUGGUCUCAAUGACUUGGUUUGAAGGAAGAAUCACUUGUAGGUUGGACACUGUUUAUAUGCCUGGCUCAAGUUUGCCCUUGUAACCAUUUAAGCGGAAACAAAGGAGAGCCAGAUCUGCUAGUUAGUGUAAUAAACCUCCCACAAGAAGAAGGGAGACUGGCCAACUUAAAAUGCAAGGCAAGUUAUUUUCAUGCACUUGUAAAUUACAUUAUGAAUAAGUGUUGGGAAACAUUGGGCUGAUAAAAAAUUUACAAUUGAUAUCUUCAAUUACUACAUGAAGCAAAUAUGAAGUAAAGAACCAACCUGAAUGUAAUCACACUAUAGAUAUUUCACAUAUUUCCACAACUGUUUCCACUAAUUCUGACAGAAUGUCCCCCAUUCACCACAAAUAUGUUUGCCCUAUAUUAAAAUAAUAAGCUAUUUAAAUAACAAGCCUUGUGUUCCUGUAUGCAUAGAAAAUGGUUCAAUUCUUUCUGGCUCAAAUCCUUUAUAAGCAAUCAAACAUCCUACCCCAUUGUCAAUCUGGCCAUCUCCUACUCAUCUUUUUAGGUUUAUACUUAAAUGUCACUUUGAUAAUGGUUUAUUCCCUAACCUCUUAAUUGUAAUUAAGUCCCCAUAUACAUUCCCUCUUCAAAUUUGCACAUUUUAUUCCAAGCAUUUAUAGCAAUUUAUAAUUUUAUGUGUGUGCUUAUUUCUUUAAUGCCUGUCUUCUCAUUUAAUAUCUUUUCUACCCCUGUAUAUCCAGGCCCUACCACCAUAGUAGAGACUCAGUAUGUAUACUUAAUGAAGGAAUAAUGAAUACAUCAGCAAGAGAAAUAAGAGUGACCAUAUGUUCCUUAAGAGAAGCAAAGAGCAGCUCCUGUUCCUGGAUCUUAAGAAAAAUCAAGAAACCAAGUUGAGAAACUAAGAAAAAAAGAAAAACUGUUUACUUCUCCCAUAAUUAUUAAAGACUAACAAUCAACGUGGAGGCAUUACUGGUUAGAAGGAGUUCACUGAUGUCUAGUUGAAAGCAAGACAUUUGGUGGCUGGAGGUUAAGGCCAACAUUUCCAGGAACCUAAACAAGACAUAGAGGAGAAAAGCAAGAACCAUCUCAUCAGUCAGUCUUGCUAUAACUGUUGUCUUGUUAUGAACAGUUGCUCAUGGCCCUGUCUGCUGCUACUGGGAGUUUGCGCUGUCGCCCCAAGCUGGAGUGCAAUGGAGCGAACAAGGAUCACUGCAACCUCUACCUCCUGCGUUCAAGCGAUUCUCCUGCCUCAGCCUCCUGAUUAGCUGGGAUUACAGGCGUCUGCCACCACGCCCAGCUAAUUUUUGUACUUUUAGUAGAGAUGGGGUUUGACCAUGUUGGCCAGGCUAGUUUUGUACUCCUGACCUCAAGUGCUGGGAUUAUAGGCAUGCGCCACAACGCCCAGCCUUGAAAAGAUAACAUUGGAAAAACUCUUCUGGACAUUGGCUUAGGCAAAUUCAUGACAAAGACCCCAAAAGCAAAUGCAACAAAGACAAAAAUAAAUAAAUUGAAUAAAUUAGAGCUAAUUAAACUGAAAAGCUUCUGCAGAGCAAAAGAAAUAAUCAGCACAUUAAAGAGAAAACCCACAGAGUGGAAGAAAAUAUUCACAAAGUAUGCAUCUGACAAAGGACUAGUAUCCAGAAUCUACAAGAAACUCAAACAAAUCAGCAAGAAAAUGACAAUUCCAUCAAAAAGUGGGCAAAAGACAUGAACAGCCAUUUUUCAAAAGAAGAUAUACAAACAGCCAACAAAUGAAUGAGAAAUGUUCAACAUCAGUGAAAUACAAAUUAAAACCACGAUGAGAUACCACGUAACUCCUGCAAGAAUGGCUAUAAUUCAAAAGUUAAAACCAUAGAUGUUGGUGUGGAUGUGAUGAAAAGGGAACACUUACACACUGCUGGUGUGAAUGUAAAUUAGUACAACCUCUAUGAAAAACAGUAUGGUGAUUCCUUAAAGAACUGAAAGUAGAUCUACCAUUUGAUCCAGCAAUCCCACUACUGGGUAUCUACCCAAAGGAAAAGAAGUCAUUACAUGAAAAAGACACAUGUACACGCAUGUUUAUAGCAGCACAAUUCACAGUUGCAAAGAUAUGGAACCGGCCUAAAUGCCCAUCAACCAAUGAGUGGAUAAAGAAAAUGUGUAUAUAUACAACAUGGAAUACUACUAGGCCAUAAAAAAGAACGAAAUAAUUUCUUUUGCAGCAACUUGGAUGGAGCUGGAGGCCAUUAUUCUAAAUGAGGUAACCCAGGAAUAAAAAACCAAAUGCCGCAUGUUCUCACUUAUCAGUGGGAGCUAAGCUGUGAGGACACAAACACAUACAAAGUGAUAUAAUGGACUUUGAUGACUGCAGGGUGGGGAGCUGGGAGUGGGGUGAGGGAUAAAAGAUUACAUAUUGAGUGGGUACAGUGUACACUGCUUUAGUGACAGGUGCACUAAAAUCUCAGAAUUCACCACUAAAGAACUCAUCCAUGUAACCAAAAACCACCUGUACCCCCAAAACUAUUAAAAUUUUUAAAAAUAAAAAAGUUAACUUCUAAACAUUAAAUAUACAUAAUAUAAAGUUUACAUUUUAAAAUUAUUUUUAUUCAGCAAUUGUUUUGUUUUAACACCCCUUCUUUCAAUGUUUUCUACUAUAAAAUGUCAAUGUCAGUUAAAGAUCAUUUUAACAUAUCAUUUUAAAACAUAUCAUUUUGUCCCAAUAUAUUGAUUUAUAAUAAUAAUUUUAAAUCAACUUUCUGUAAAAUCUUAUAGUAGAAAAAUGAUUCAUAGUUUAAUAUUAUGGUCACUUGUUACUAAUUAAAAAUAUGUAAAUAUGUAUUCUUAAAAAUAGAGAAUAAUACCAUUUCAGGAAUUCUGAUUAUUUGUUCUGAAAUUUCAAAGAUUACUAUCUGCUGGGAAUUUGGAAACCCUAUAAUAAUCUAAACCCAGCGACAGUGAAAACCAGGAGGCAGAUGGAGCCCAAAGGAAGAGAUGGAAGGGUCACUCUUGUGUGGCACCUUCCUAUCCUGGCCAGGCGGCAGUGCCUGGGGUAGUCGAAGGGAGCAGCAGUGAGGAUGAGACCUUCAAUUAGAGAAAGGACAAGAAGAGAACGUGGGAAGACCCACACUCGGGCCCACUUUGGUUAAUCCUCCUUAGUUUCCUUGUAAACUAUUAAGGCAGUUAAAUUUUCAACUGCUUGAAUUUACCUAUUUCAAAGAUUCAGCUUUUCACUUGACUUUGAUUGGUCACCAAGAAAAUAUAAGUAUUAUAGCCAUGUUAUUUUCAAAGAGGAAAGCAUGCCAGUCACUAGAACAGUGAGUGGUAUGUAGCAGGCACUCAGAAAACAUGUGUGAUAUGGGUUGAUCUGAGUCCCUGCCCAAAUUUCUUGUCGAAUUGUAAUCCCCAAUGUUGGAGGUGGGUCUGGUGGAAGGUGGUUGGAUCAUGGGGACAGAUUUCUGCCUUUGGUGCUGUUCUCAUGGUAGAGUUUUCAUGAGAACUGAUUGUUUAAAAGUGUGUAGCACCUCCCUCUCUCUCUCUGGCAUCUGCCCUGGCCAUGUAAUAUGUGCCAGCUUCCCCUUCACCUUUCACUGUUAUUGUAUGUUUCCUGAGGCCUCCCCGGAAAUGGAGCAGAUGCCAGAACCAUGCCUCUUGUACAGCCUGCAGAUCCAUGAACCAAUUAAACCUCUUUUCUUUAUAAAUUACCCAGUGUCAGGUAUUUCUUUAUAGCAAUGCAAGAAGGACUAAUACAAUGUGUUAAACUAAUUACUGGAUAAUGCAAUUCACAGAGGAACAGAGAAUCCUUUUACUUGGGACUGGCCAGUUUCCUGUAAGUCAAAAUUAUGCAAAUCCAAUCAAAUUUUCCAUAAAGAAAAUAUUGUGAUUGAAUUUUAGAUUCUUUAUCAUAACCUUGAAAUCCAUACAACCUCUGUAAAAUUUUAAAAGAUUGUGUCUUUUUUUAGCUUCAAUGAAUUGGAGAGUGAAGCAUCUGCUUUAAUGGGAAAUUUCAAAUUUCUUCAGCAAUAUCGUGAGAAUAAUCUCAGCAGAAGUCAAUAGGAGACUCAGAAGCAUAAGAAUACCUCCUAGAAUUUAAAUAUAAGAAAAACAAAUUGAAGUUAAUAGUCUUAUUUUCUCAUUGUAAAGUUGCCUGCUCAUCUUACUGUGUAUAAAAUUGGGAUCCAGUUAUUCAAAAUCAGUGUGUUUUGUGUGUAUUACUCAGCAGAGUAUUUACCAGGUUUACAAGUGUAGAUCACACAUCUAAGUCAAGGCCUGCCUUAUCACUUCUGGUCACCAACUAAUCCUUAAACUUUUUUUAUUCUAAAAAUAAUUGGGAGUAAAACAUCAACAAGUUAGCUGGACAACGUGUUUAAAGCUUUAAAACCUGCCUUGAAAACUGUGAUAGAUCAGUUUGAAUGCCAGGACUGUCGAUUCAAAGUGCCAAAUGUCUGCUAUAAUAAUUCCUAGCACAUAGGGAGUUCUAUGAGCCAGACUCUGCAUCUCAAGCUCUUCAGAGAUUUUAACUCAACCACUUUUCACAAAACCUUGUUUUUUGUGGAAGAAGUGCAAUUACCUUCCAUAUUUUACAGGGGAGGACACUAAGUAUCAGGGACAUGCAUUUUUUCCAGGCCCCAUGGCUAACACAUGGCAAAGCUAGGUCAACUUGGACGUUGGCCUUCAGAGUCAUUGAACCAUAACCCCUCCCCUCCUGCCUGGACAGCCCCAGAGCCGGCACUGCUGAGUCACAGUGACAAGACUUACCCUCUGGCCUUGAACAGCUCAAACUCUAAUGGAGUAAAUAGAUAAAUAAGCCACUGUGAUGAUAAUAAUAAUAAUAAAAAGUUAAAAAUGGCAAGAUAAGACCAUGAAGCAUGUGGUGUAACAAUUCAGGGAGAUGCCAUAGCUUAGCAGAUAAGAGCACAGACUCAGGACUGAGAUGAGUCUCACUCCAGUGCCAGCUGCAGAGGCUCAGCUGCAUCAGUCUCUCUGCUCUUCAGGGGUCUUAGCUGUAAAACAAGAAUGCUCUUCGUGGGAACUCAGAGAAUGGGCAUGUCAGGUAUUCAGAGCAGUCCUGUAGCCCAGAAAGCCUAAGUCAGUACUAUCAUGAUCAUGGAAGAGUAGAUUAUUGAAGCUGACUUAGAAGAACUGGAAAGACUUCUUGAAGGGCUUUAGAUUUCAGCUGAGCCUUGAAACAAGAGUUGUUAUUUUAAAACAGAAACAAAAAGGAAAAACUCCAAUAGUCUGGAUGCAGCCAACAAAGCACCUUCCAGACAACAGAAGCAGCUGGGAAAUGAAACAACAAACAAACAAGGCAAAGCCACAUCUCAGAACAGGGCAUGUUGUAUGGACUCAUGUACUUGGAAAGUGAGGUUCAGGGAAAUUCCAAGUGAAUGGCAGGAAAUAAAGCUGGAAACCUAAGGAAGGACUAGGCCCUAAGGCAGAGAGAGAUUCUUUAAGUACCUCAGCCCAUAGGGACAAAUCAUCGGUUUUCCUUUUACCUAAACGGAAACAUGUUUCUUGUCUUAGAGAAUUAUGUUUUCUUUUCGGUUUAUUUUCUAUUUUAAAUUUAAAAUUUGAAUUGUAAGCCUAUAGGAUCCCAAGAGUUCCAAACUCUAUAUUUUUCUUACUCCUUUAACUCUGCCUUCAGCAUAUGUCAUGGUAAAAUGUAAAUUAACCUAAAUCUAUACAAUAA